CCGACAAGCGGUGGAGCAUGUGGUUUAAUUCGAAGCGACGCGAAGAACCUUACCAGGUCUUGACAUCCUUUUGAAUGGUCUAGAGAUAGAUCAGGCCUUCGGGACAGAAGAGACAGGUGGUGCAUGGUUGUCGUCAGCUCGUGUCGUGAGAUGUUGGGUUAAGUCCCGCAACGAGCGCAACCCUUAUCAUUAGUUGCUAACAUUCAGUUGAGAACUCUAAUGAGACUGCCAGUGAUAAACUGGAGGAAGGUGGGAUGACGUCAAAUCAUCAUGCCCCUUAUGACCUGGGCUACACACGUGCUACAAUGGCCGGUACAAAGAGUUGCGAAACUGUGAAGUUAAGCUAAUCUCAUAAAGCCGGUCUCAGUUCGGAUUGUAGUCUGCAACUCGACUACAUGAAGUCGGAAUCGCUAGUAAUCGCGAAUCAGAAUGUCGCGGUGAAUACGUUCUCGAGUCUU
rnacentral:rRNA from 1 species